AAGUCGUAACAAGGUCUCCGUAGGUGAACCUGCGGAGGGAUCAUUACACAAUAUGAAAGCGGGUUGGGACCUCAUCUCGGUGAGGGCUCCAGCUUGUCUGAAUUAUUCACCCAUGUCUUUUGCGCACUUCUUGUUUCCUGGGCGGGUUCGCCCGCCACCAGGACCCAACCAUAAACCUUUUUUGUAAUUGCAAUCAGCGUCAGUACACAAUGUAAUUAUUACAACUUUCAACAACGGAUCUCUUGGUUCUG
rnacentral:misc_RNA from 1 species